rnacentral:rRNA from 1 species
CUCUUAAAAAUUUUUAAGUAGUCUCUGCCCUAUGAGGUUUUAAAUGGCCGCGGUAUACUGACUGUGCAAAGGUAGCAUAAUCACUUGUUUUUUUAUUGAAAACUAGAAUGAAAGAGUUGACGAAAGAUAAUCUUUUUAUUUGUUCAUAAAAUUGACAUUAAUGUAAAAAGGCUUUAAUGAUUUAGAGGGACGAUAAGACCCUGUGAAAUUUUACCUUUAAAGAAAUUAAAAUUUAAGAUGAUUAGUUUAAAGAAGGUUGAGUUGGGGCGACGGUAAUAAUAAUCUAAUUGAAAUUUAAUACUAAAAUGUAUUUUUUUAGAGCUUUUUAGAAGGUUAAACAAAUUACUCCAGGGAUAACAGCAUAAUUUUUCUAGAAAGUUCAUAUUGACAGAAAAGUUUAUGACCUCGAUGUUGAAUUGAAAAUACUUCUAUGGGCAAAUAAAUAGGUAGUUAGUCUGUUCGACUUAUAAAAUUUC